rnacentral:rRNA from 1 species
GAUGAACGCUGGCGGCGUGCCUAAUACAUGCAAGUCGAGCGAACAGACGAGGAGCUUGCUCCUCUGACGUUAGCGGCGGACGGGUGAGUAACACGUGGAUAACCUACCUAUAAGACUGGGAUAACUUCGGGAAACCGGAGCUAAUACCGGAUAAUAUAUUGAACCGCAUGGUUCAAUAGUGAAAGACGGUUUUGCUGUCACUUAUAGAUGGAUCCGCGCCGCAUUAGCUAGUUGGUAAGGUAACGGCUUACCAAGGCAACGAUGCGUAGCCGACCUGAGAGGGUGAUCGGCCACACUGGAACUGAGACAGGGUCCAGACUCCUACGGGAGGCAGCAGUAGGGAAUCUUCCGCAAUGGGCGAAAGCUUGACGGAGCAACGCCGCGUGAGUGAUGAAGGUCUUCGGAUCGUAAAACUCUGUUAUUAGGGAAGAACAAAUGUGUAAGUAACUAUGCACGUCUUGACGGUACCUAAUCAGAAAGCCACGGCUAACUACGUG